UGGGGAAUUUUGGACAAUGGGGGAAACCCUGAUCCAGCCAUCCCGCGUGUGCGAUGAAGGCCUUCGGGUUGUAAAGCACUUUUGGCAGGAAAGAAACGUCGCGGGUUAAUACCCCGCGAAACUGACGGUACCUGCAGAAUAAGCACCGGCUAACUACGUGCCAGCAGCCGCGGUAAUACGUAGGGUGCAAGCGUUAAUCGGAAUUACUGGGCGUAAAGCGUGCGCAGGCGGUUCGGAAAGAAAGAUGUGAAAUCCCAGAGCUUAACUUUGGAACUGCAUUUUUAACUACCGGGCUAGAGUGUGUCAGAGGGAGGUGGAAUUCCGCGUGUAGCAGUGAAAUGCGUAGAUAUGCGGAGGAACACCGAUGGCGAAGGCAGCCUCCUGGA
rnacentral:rRNA from 1 species